rnacentral:rRNA from 1 species
UGGUGAUGAUGGCAGAGAGGUCACACCCGUUCCCAUACCGAACACGGAAGUUAAGCUCUCUAGCGCCGAUGGUAGUUGGGACCUUGUCCCUGUGAGAGUAGGACAUCGCCAAGCA